CAGCAGCCGCGGGAAAACGUAGGUGGCAAGCGUUGUCCGGAAUUAUUGGGCGUAAAGGGCUCGCAGGCGGUUUCUUAAGUCUGAUGUGAAAGCCCCCGGCUCAACCGGGGAGGGUCAUUGGAAACUGGGAAACUUGAGUGCAGUAGAGGAGAGUGGAAUUCCACGUGUAGCGGUGAAAUGCGUAGAGAUGUGGAGGAACACCAGUGGCGAAGGCGACUCUCUGGUCUGUAACUGACGCUGAGGAGCGAAAGCGUGGGGAGCGAACAGGAUUAGAUACCCGAGUAGUCCCUGUCUCUUAUAC
rnacentral:rRNA from 1 species